AGGUGCGAUCAUACCAGCAUUAAUGCACCGGAUCCCAUCAGAACUCCGCAGUGAAGCGUCUUUGGGCGAGAGUAGUACUAGGAUGGGUGACCUCCUGGGAAGUCCUCGUGUUGCACCUC
rnacentral:rRNA from 2 species